rnacentral:tRNA from 1 species
GCAGUAGUUGUAUAGUGGUUAUUAUGCUGCUUCCAAGCAUGCGACCGGGUUCGAAUCCGGCUACUGCA